rnacentral:pre_miRNA from 1 species
UAAAUACUCCCUCUGUUCCGAAUUACUUGUCGUAGGUAUGGAUGUAUUUAGAUGUAUUUUAGUUCUAGAUACAUCCAUUUUUGACGGGUAAUUUGGAAUGAAUGGAGUAUAAG